rnacentral:rRNA from 1 species
UCUGUUCAACGGCCGCGGUAUCCUAACCGUGCGAAGGUAGCGUAAUCACUUGUUCUUUAAAUGAGGACUAGUAUGAAUGGCACCACGAGGGUUACACUGUCUCCUUCCUCUAAUCAGUGAAACUAAUCUCCCCGUGAAGAAGCGGGGAUGAAAUUAUAAGACGAGAAGACCCUAUGGAGCUUUAAACACAGUAACAAUUGCCCUGACCUUAUUUACCAGCCCCCGGGCACAAUUAUUCACUCAGGCACCUUGAUUACAAGUUUUAGGUUGGGGUGACCGCGGAGCAAAAAAUAACCUCCACAGUGAAAGGGGUCCCACCCCCUAAACCCCGGGCCACAGCCCCAAGAAUCAAAAAAUUGACACCCAUUGACCCA